rnacentral:rRNA from 1 species
GGUUAAGCGACUAAGCGUACACGGUGGAUGCCCUGGCAGUCAGAGGCGAUGAAGGACGUGCUAAUCUGCGAUAAGCGUCGGUGAGGUGAUAUGAACCGUUAUAACCGGCGAUUUCCGAAUGGGGAAACCCAGUGUGUUUCGACACACUAUCAUUAACUGAAUCCAUAGGUUAAUGAGGCGAACCGGGGGAACUGAAACAUCUAAGUACCCCGAGGAAAAGAAAUCAACCGAGAUUCCCCCAGUAGCGGCGAGCGAACGGGGAGGAGCCCAGAGCCUGAAUCAGUGUGUGUGUUAGUGGAAGCGUCUGGAAAGGCGCGCGAUACAGGGUGACAGCCCCGUACACAAAAAUGCACAUGCUGUGAGCUCGAUGAGUAGGGCGGGACACGUGGUAUCCUGUCUGAAUAUGGGGGGACCAUCCUCCAAGGCUAAAUACUCCUGACUGACCGAUAGUGAACCAGUACCGUGAGGGAAAGGCGAAAAGAACCCCGGCGAGGGGAGUGAAAAAGAACCUGAAACCGUGUACGUACAAGCAGUGGGAGCCUCUUUAUGGGGUGACUGCGUACCUUUUGUAUAAUGGGUCAGCGACUUAUAUUCUGUAGCAAGGUUAACCGAAUAGGGGAGCCGAAGGGAAACCGAGUCUUAACUGGGCGUUAAGUUGCAGGGUAUAGACCCGAAACCCGGUGAUCUAGCCAUGGGCAGGUUGAAGGUUGGGUAACACUAACUGGAGGACCGAACCGACUAAUGUUGAAAAAUUAGCGGAUGACUUGUGGCUGGGGGUGAAAGGCCAAUCAAACCGGGAGAUAGCUGGUUCUCCCCGAAAGCUAUUUAGGUAGCGCCUCGUGAAUUCAUCUCCGGGGGUAGAGCACUGUUUCGGCAAGGGGGUCAUCCCGACUUACCAACCCGAUGCAAACUGCGAAUACCGGAGAAUGUUAUCACGGGAGACACACGGCGGGUGCUAACGUCCGUCGUGAAGAGGGAAACAACCCAGACCGCCAGCUAAGGUCCCAAAGUCAUGGUUAAGUGGGAAACGAUGUGGGAAGGCCCAGACAGCCAGGAUGUUGGCUUAGAAGCAGCCAUCAUUUAAAGAAAGCGUAAUAGCUCACUGGUCGAGUCGGCCUGCGCGGAAGAUGUAACGGGGCUAAACCAUGCACCGAAGCUGCGGCAGCGACACUAUGUGUUGUUGGGUAGGGGAGCGUUCUGUAAGCCUGUGAAGGUGUACUGUGAGGUAUGCUGGAGGUAUCAGAAGUGCGAAUGCUGACAUAAGUAACGAUAAAGCGGGUGAAAAGCCCGCUCGCCGGAAGACCAAGGGUUCCUGUCCAACGUUAAUCGGGGCAGGGUGAGUCGACCCCUAAGGCGAGGCCGAAAGGCGUAGUCGAUGGGAAACAGGUUAAUAUUCCUGUACUUGGUGUUACUGCGAAGGGGGGACGGAGAAGGCUAUGUUGGCCGGGCGACGGUUGUCCCGGUUUAAGCGUGUAGGCUGGUUUUCCAGGCAAAUCCGGAAAAUCAAGGCUGAGGCGUGAUGACGAGGCACUACGGUGCUGAAGCAACAAAUGCCCUGCUUCCAGGAAAAGCCUCUAAGCAUCAGGUAACAUCAAAUCGUACCCCAAACCGACACAGGUGGUCAGGUAGAGAAUACCAAGGCGCUUGAGAGAACUCGGGUGAAGGAACUAGGCAAAAUGGUGCCGUAACUUCGGGAGAAGGCACGCUGAUAUGUAGGUGAAGCGACUUGCUCGUGGAGCUGAAAUCAGUCGAAGAUACCAGCUGGCUGCAACUGUUUAUUAAAAACACAGCACUGUGCAAACACGAAAGUGGACGUAUACGGUGUGACGCCUGCCCGGUGCCGGAAGGUUAAUUGAUGGGGUUAGCGGUAACGCGAAGCUCUUGAUCGAAGCCCCGGUAAACGGCGGCCGUAACUAUAACGGUCCUAAGGUAGCGAAAUUCCUUGUCGGGUAAGUUCCGACCUGCACGAAUGGCGUAAUGAUGGCCAGGCUGUCUCCACCCGAGACUCAGUGAAAUUGAACUCGCUGUGAAGAUGCAGUGUACCCGCGGCAAGACGGAAAGACCCCGUGAACCUUUACUAUAGCUUGACACUGAACAUUGAGCCUUGAUGUGUAGGAUAGGUGGGAGGCUUUGAAGUGUGGACGCCAGUCUGCAUGGAGCCGGCCUUGAAAUACCACCCUUUAAUGUUUGAUGUUCUAACGUUGGCCCCUGAUCGGGGUUGCGGACAGUGUCUGGUGGGUAGUUUGACUGGGGCGGUCUCCUCCUAAAGAGUAACGGAGGAGCACGAAGGUUGGCUAAUCCUGGUCGGACAUCAGGAGGUUAGUGCAAUGGCAUAAGCCAGCUUGACUGCGAGCGUGACGGCGCGAGCAGGUGCGAAAGCAGGUCAUAGUGAUCCGGUGGUUCUGAAUGGAAGGGCCAUCGCUCAACGGAUAAAAGGUACUCCGGGGAUAACAGGCUGAUACCGCCCAAGAGUUCAUAUCGACGGCGGUGUUUGGCACCUCGAUGUCGGCUCAUCACAUCCUGGGGCUGAAGUAGGUCCCAAGGGUAUGGCUGUUCGCCAUUUAAAGUGGUACGCGAGCUGGGUUUAGAACGUCGUGAGACAGUUCGGUCCCUAUCUGCCGUGGGCGCUGGAGAACUGAGGGGGGCUGCUCCUAGUACGAGAGGACCGGAGUGGACGCAUCACUGGUGUUCGGGUUGUCAUGCCAAUGGCACUGCCCGGUAGCUAAAUGCGGAAGAGAUAAGUGCUGAAAGCAUCUAAGCACGAAACUUGCCCCGAGAUGAGUUCUCCCUGAGACUUAGAGUCUCCUGAAGGAACGUUGAAGACGACGACGUUGAUAGGCCGGGUGUGUAAGCGCAGCGAUGCGUUGAGCUAACCGGUACUAAUGAACCGUGAGGCUUAACCUU